GUGCUCACUUUGGCAGCACAUACACUAAAAUUGGAACGAUACAGAGAUUAGCAUGGCCCCUGUGCAAGCAUGACACACAAAUGCAUGAAGCACUCCAUAUGCUU
ensembl:snRNA U6 U6 spliceosomal RNA